UGGAGAGGUGGCCGAGUGGCUGAAGGCAACGGUUUGCUAAACCGUCGUAUGGGUGAACGCCCGUACCGCGGGUUCGAAUCCCGCCCUCUCCGG
rnacentral:tRNA from 1 species